AUUGAACGCUGGCGGCAGGCCUAACACAUGCAAGUCGAACGGUAACAGGAAGAAGCUUGCUUCUUUGCUGACGAGUGGCGGACGGGUGAGUCAUGUCUGGGAAACUGCCUGAUGGAGGGGGAUAACUACUGGAAACGGUAGCUAACACCGAAUAACUCCUGAAGCCCAAAGGGGGGGACAUUCGGGCCUUUUGCCAUCGGAUACGCCCAGAUGGGAUUAGCUAGUAGGUGGGGUAACGGCUCACCUAGGCGACGAUCCCUAGCUGGUCUGAGAGGAUGACCAGCCACACUGGAACUGAGACACGGUCCAGACUCCUACGGGAGGCAGCAGUGGGGAAUAUUGCACAAUGGGCGCAAGCCUGAUGCAGCCAUGCCGCGUGUAUGAAGAAGGCCUUCGGGUUGUAAAGUACUUUCAGCGGGGAGGAAGGGAGUAAAGUUAAUACCUUUGCUCAUUGACGUUACCCGCAGAAGAAGCACCGGCUAACUCCGUG
rnacentral:rRNA from 1 species